CGCUAUCUUGGAGAUCAGCCGCUAAUUGCUUCAUUAGCGGCUGAUUAACACAGACCCAGGGAUUCCCCAGCCGUGGCUUGUGCCAGCGGGUGGAGUGUGGCUCUUUCACAGUCUCUCUAUUCUCUCCCCCUCGCUCCCUCUCGUCCUCCUGUGAGGGAUCGGAGUCCCGUUUCUUCAGGGCUGGAUCGGGCGUUUCCUCGCCUCCUUUGUCUCCUGGGCAACCCCGCCACGUCUUGUCCCGGAGCCGCAGUUUGUCGCCGCUCCCCUGCUCUGUUCCCUGUGACUCACCACAGAAGCUGGCUUUUCAGCACAAUGGAGCCAAAUGCUGCACUAUUAGAGAGAGCCACUGUUAAAUGUUUUGAGUUUGAUUACAAAGGAUUUCCAAAUAACACGGCUAUGAUUCUUAAACUGCUUCAGAAGGAAAGUGACCCAGGAUUUUUAAGCACCUGAAAUCUGUGCUGAUUCACAAAAACCUCUGAAAAGACCAACGUGGCUACCAAGUACACCCCUGAAACAUGGAAGAUGCCAAAUUUUAGUCUAUUUUGGAUUUUAAACUUCAUUGCAGAACAAGAAGGAUUUUUUUUACCGUCCUGCCUGCCAUCUGACACCUCUAGGGAAGGAAUUCUACCUGAUCUACACAUCAAAGAGCUACUCAGCACAGUUCACAAAGACACUCUCAUGAAGCCUUGCAUCUUCAGCUCCCUCUGUACAAAAAUGAAGUUUAUUUCCUACCUAUGGGGACUUUUUACCAUCUUGUAUCAUCUAUACUUUUCCCAGAGCCUGAUGAAGGGAUAUUGAUCCUGAAAGCUUGCAAAAAAGGACAAUUUUAUUGUAAUUUCCCAGUUCAUCUAAUAAAAGGUAUCAUUUUGGAA